rnacentral:lncRNA from 1 species
UCAAAUGCCACAACCAAGAAUUACCAUGUAUAAUGGAGCUAAGAUAUUUGAGUACAUCAUGUUGAUUAUGCAAAGAAAACAUUCCACUAUGGGACAUUUUUAUAUGAGUAAGUAAAUUACAAUGACUAUUCCAUAAAGUAAGAGGACAGUUUUUCAUAUUAAUACUAUAAUUUUUCUCCAAAAGUUGACCCAAGUUCAAAAGAUUUAUGUGCAAAUUUGGAAUAUAAUAGAUAUUGGAAAUAAAAUCAUGAUUGUCAUUUUGAGCUUGAUGAGAAUAGUACCUUUGCCUUGCACCGAAAUUUUGGAAUUGUCACCAAAAGUAACAUAGCUUGCAUAUUUCAUCCAAAUCAACAAAUAAUUCCUUCUUUCCCGUCAUGUGGUUGCUUGCGCCGGUAUCAAGAUACCAUACAUUGUUUUCAUUCUUCUCAUUCUCAUUAUGAGCCAACAAUAAAGUAGAAGUCGUCUCUUCAAUACUCUCUUUUCCAAUUAUAUUAGUUUGCUCUCCAACUUCAUUGCCUUGCUUUGCCCAACAUUCAUUGCUAUAGUGCCCAUACUUGUGACAAUUGAAGCAUUGCACAUUUCUCUUGUCAAAGCUUUGUUGAUUGGAAUGUUGAUUGGAAUUUCCUCUUGACCUUUCUCUUGGAUGGAAUGAUAGCUGACUUCUUCUACCAUGCCUUCCACAUCUUCCUC